GGCUAGAUGGCCGAGCGGUCUAAGGCGCCACGUUAAGGUAUUGAUCCUUGAUUCCAACUCCACCAAGAGUUCCGUGGUCUCGUAAGGGGCGUGAGUUCGAAUCUCACUCUAGUCA
rfam:Podospora anserina genomic DNA, chromosome 2.